UUUUCCCACCAUUCACGUUUUCAAUUUUCUCUUUCUUUAAAUUUCUUUGCAGAUCAAGAAACACAAAUUAUUCAAGGUUCUCAUAAUUUGCUCAACAAUUCUCUGAAUUAAUUCAAGAAAUCUCUCAAUUGAUAAAGCGAGUGUACCUAUGACUUUUGAUCUCCCUCAGCUCUAGCCAGCCUCCCGCAUAACAAGUUCCAGGGUGAGCUAUCCAUUCAAGCUCGUGUUGGAUUUUUUUGGUCAUGACUUGAUGUUCUAUACUGUCGGAAACAUACCAUUUUAUUCUUUUAUUUUGGUGUAGUUGAUAUUCUUUGACUUAGUAUUGGAGAUUAGAUGUCCUUGAUGUGAUGACUUUCAGGUUUGGGAAAUGAUAUUUAGUAACAUUUGAGUUUCUGCGUUAUGCUUGUAUUUUGUAAGUUAAAUUAAAUUGGUUGGUUCGCCCACUUAAAAGGUUAAGUGUGGGUGCCACUCACGACUCAUUUGGGGUCGUGACACCAAACCCAUGCCACGUGUCAUAGUGACUAGGCAUCCAAGACCAACAAGGUGAUGCCAUGUGUCCAAAUGAGGUGGUAGUCCCAGUCAAAUGCAAGAACGAAUCAAAAUGCGCCAAGUAUUAAAAUGACAUCCUUUGGCCAAUCACAAGCAAACUUGUCCACUCCCUACAACUAUAAAUAGGGGAUAUACAUGACAUUCAAGGGGGUCCAGAAAACUCUUCAACAAGUAUUAAGCAUAUUGUAGAAAACUACAACAUCAACAUCAAUAGUUCUUCGAAGGAGUGAUAAACGGAGUUCUUCCCGGAGAUUGACUUACAACGACGAAGCACUUUUCGACGUCCCGGAGAUAGAAAACAUCUCAAGAAGGUAUACAUCAUCCAAAAAUUUAAGAAAUACGCUAUUGAAGGCUCUCGAAUCACGGAGAAACUUAGGAGAGAGAAUCAAGAGAACAACGGAAUUGUACUCACAACGAUUCAUUAAUAAAGAUCACAUUUUUUCUUUUAUUUA